CAACCACUGCAUAUUGUACAAAUCCCAAUUCCACUUUGGUUUCCUAGCAAUAUGAAUGACACCACUCGGACAGGAGUUUUCUGAGAAACAAAGAAUGUAAAAGGAGAAAAAGGACACUUUGCACAUUGGCAGAGCAGCCGUAAACAUUUGGCACUUGGAUCUGAUGUGAAGCUUGAGGGUCACAGAACAAGGCAGGCAUUUCAGCAUCAUACUUAUUCCCAGGUUGAAGUCGCAGCAAACAUCUCAAUGGAGCUGUGUCAUUGAACUAAACUGUGCCUUUGAGCUAAC